UGGGGAAUAUUGCACAAUGGGCGCAAGCCUGAUGCAGCCAUGCCGCGUGUAUGAAGAAGGCCUUCGGGUUGUAAAGUACUUUCAGCGGGGAGGAAGGCGAUAAGGUUAAUAACCUUGUCGAUUGACGUUACCCGCAGAAGAAGCACCGGCUAACUCCGUGCCAGCAGCCGCGGUAAUACGGAGGGGGCAAGCGUUAAUCGGAAUUACUGGGCGUAAAGCGCACGCAGGCGGUCUGUCAAGUCGGAUGUGAAAUCCCCGGGCUCAACCUGGGAACUGCAUUCGAAACUGGCAGGCUAGAGUCUUGUAGAAGGGGGUAGAAUUCCAGGUGUAGCGGUGAAAUGCGUAGAGAUCUGGAGGAAUACCGGUGGCGAAGGCGGCCCCCUGGACAAAGACUGACGCUCAGGUGCGAAAGCGUGGGGAGCAAACA
rnacentral:rRNA from 1 species